GAAGUAGCAAAGGCCCUCAGAAGAUGGCGUUUCCUCCAACGUUUUCAGUUUGUCAAAAUGGUUUUGAUUUUUAAUCAGUUUGUAUCAUUUUUCAGUUAAACAUUUGAUUUGUUUACUUUUUAUUCAUUCCCUAAUAAGCGAUCUUCAGAAAAAAGUCUCAACCAACCAAACAAUAGUAAUGACUUCUGACUCGCCGUGCUUAUUGAAAGGAUUUACAGUAAACUUGUAUCUGGAUUAUAAUCUGCUUGGUAACUGGAUAAACGAGCUAAAUUGCCUUUAAAAUGAUCUACUGUUAAUUGUUGUUCCAUCUAUAAACCAGAUUAGAUCCCUUGCUUAGUUACUGUUUUAAAUAAUUAACUGGUAACAAAUGGAGUAUAAAUUGAACAAGAAUGGAUAGCAAGCUUUGUUUUUCAAACCUCAACCCUGGAGUAACCCAAGAAUAGAGAUUAACUCUGAAACAAGGUUCAAUAAAAAUGUAAAUUAACCUGAAAA